rnacentral:rRNA from 1 species
GAUGAACGCUGGCGGUCUGCUUAACACAUGCAAGUCGAACGGGCUCUUUCGGGAUCUAGUGGCGGCCGGGGGAGUAACGCGUUAGAAUCUGCCCGUUGGAGGGGGAUAACGGUUGGAAACGACCGCUAAUACCCCAUGUGCCUAGAGGUAAAAAGUAAUUCGCCCAGGGAGGGGGUGGCGUCGCAUCAGCUAGUUGGGGGGGUAAGGGCCCACCAAGGCGACGAUCCGGAGCUGGUCUGAGAGGAGGACCCGCCACGCUGCGACUGAGACACGGCGACGACUACUACAGGAAGCAGCAGGGAGGAAUUCUCCGCAAUGGGAGCCAGCCUGACGGAGCGAGGCGGCGUGAAGGAAGGCGGUCUGUGGAUUGUAAACCUCCUUUGGCAGCGAAGCAGUACUGACGGUACCUGGCAAAGCAGCCCCGGCUAACUCCGUG